rnacentral:rRNA from 1 species
UACGGAGGGGGCUAGCGUUGUUCGGAAUUACUGGGCGUAAAGCGCGCGUAGGCGGCUUUGUAAGUUAGAGGUGAAAGCCCGAAGCUCAACUUCGGAAUUGCCUUUAAGACUGCAUCGCUAGAAUUGUGGAGAGGUAAGUGGAAUUCCGAGUGUAGAGGUGAAAUUCGUAGAUAUUCGGAAGAACACCAGUGGCGAAGGCGACUUACUGGACACAUAUUGACGCUGAGGUGCGAAAGCGUGGGGAGCAAACAGG